rnacentral:misc_RNA from 1 species
UUUCCGUAGGUGAACCUGCGGAAGGAUCACUAAAGAGAACUGCCUUCGGGCUAAUCUCCCACCCUUUGUUUACAUUACCUUUGUUGCUUUGGCAGGCCCGCCUUUGGGCCGCCGGCUUCGGCUGGUCAGCGCCUGCCAGAGGACCCCAAACUCUGAAUGUUAGUGUCGUCUGAGUACUAUCUAAUAGUUAAAACUUUCAACAACGGAUCUCUUGGCUCUGGCAUCGAUGAAGAACGCAGC